rfam:Triticum aestivum genome assembly, contig: Triticum_aestivum_CS42_TGACv1_scaffold_513910_6BS
CAUAUACUCCCUCCGUCCUGAAUUACUUGUCGCAGGUAUGGAUGUAUCUAGAUGUAUUUUAGUUCUAGAUACAUCCAUUUCUGCGAUGAGUAAUUUGUGACGGAGGGAGUAUAUG